UUUAUCCUCUUGUCAAUACCUGACCAUGCACAUCACCACAGACAGUUAAAAGACUGCCAUCAGGAACAUUAACAUCAAUAAGAGACGGCAGAGCCCGCAACAUUUCUCUCAUUUGCAAGACAAUCUGGAAUGCAUAUCUUUUAUGCAAAAAC